ACCCGUCCGCUGCGAUUGGCACGGAUUUGGCCUUCACUGGUAGCCUGGUAACAUACACUCCCAGGUCUUUCUCUGCCUCUGUGGUGGAUAGUGGAGUGUUUCCCAUGUGGUAUUGGUGUGCUGGAUAUCCCUUCACUGGUAGCCUGGUAACAUACACUCCCAGGUCUUUCUCUGCCUCUGUGGUGGAUAGUGGAGUGUUUCCCAUGUGGUAUUGGUGUGCUGGAUAUCCCUUCACUGGUAGCCUGGUAACAUACACUUCCAGGUCUUUCUCUGCCUCUGUGGUGGAUAGUGGAGUGUUUCCCAUGUGGUAUUGGUGUGCUGGAUAUCCCUUCACUGGUAGCCUGGUAACAUACACUCCCAGGUCUUUCUCUGCCUCUGUGGUGGAUAGUGGAGUGUUUCCCAUGUGGUAUUGGUAUGCUGGAUAUCCCUUCACUGGUAGCCUGGUAACAUACACUCCCAGGUCUUUCUCUGCCUCUGUGGUGGAUAGUGGAGUGUUUCCCAUGUGGUAUUGGUGUGCUGGAUAUCCCUUCACUGGUAGCCUGGUAACAUACACUCCCAGGUCUUUCUCUGCCUCUGUGGUGGAUAGUGGAGUGUUUCCCAUGUGGUAUUGGUAUGCUGGAUAUCCCUUCACUGGUAGCCUGGUAACAUACACUCCCAGGUCUUUCUCUGCCUCUGUGGUGGAUAGUGGAGUGUUUCCCAUGUGGUAUUGGUGUGCUGGAUAUCCACUCCCAAGGUGCAGGA